GCCGGGAUGGUGGAAUUGGUAGACGCAGCGGACUCAAAAUCCGCCGACCGCAAGGUCUUGCGAGUUCAAGUCUCGCUCCCGGUACCA
rnacentral:tRNA from 5 species